rnacentral:rRNA from 1 species
UCAGGCCUAACACAUGCAAGUCGAACGGCAGCACGGACUUCGGUCUGGUGGCGAGUGGCGAACGGGUGAGUAAUGUAUCGGAACGUGCCUAGUAGCGGGGGAUAACUACUCGAAAGAGUAGCUAAUACCGCAUACGCCCUACGGGGGAAAGGGGGGGAUCGCAAGACCUCUCACUAUUAGAGCGGCCGAUAUCGGAUUAGCUAGUUGGUGAGGUAAAGGCUCACCAAGGCGACGAUCCGUAGCUGGUUUGAGAGGACGACCAGCCACACUGGGACUGAGACACGGCCCAGACUCCUACGGGAGGCAGCAGUGGGGAAUUUUGGACAAUGGGGGCAACCCUGAUCCGGCCAUUCCGCGUGUGCGAUGAAGGCCUUCGGGUUGUAAAGGACUGUUGGCAGGAAAGAAAUCGCACGGGUUAAUAACCCGUGUGGAUGAC